CCUACAUACAUUUAUCCAACACUGUGACCCAUUUAAAGAAUUCCUUCCCAAACUCUCUCAGUUUUUAAGUGGAUUUUAGUCAACGACGUUGGCACGCCAAAUCUGUUAUAGGAGCUCACUUGUUUGUUCCCAGCUGCUCAGCCCUGAAAUAAUCACACAGAAACCAUAUUAUUUGCAAUACUGUUUGACUAAUAGCCUCCAGGAACAAGCCAACUCAAUUGUGAUGGAUGAUCUUUUUCAUAUAUGCCCAUAUUCAGUCUGUAAGCAUUUCACUAAGAACUUCGCACGUGUUUAUCAGGGAUAUUGGCCGGUAGUUUUCUUUGUUGUUGUUGUAUUUUUCUCCAGUUUGAUAUUAAAGUACUACGGACUUUGUAGAAGGAGUUUAGAAGUGUUCAUUCUGAUUCUAUGCCAUUUGUAUAAUUUAAGGAGUAUUGUUAUAAUUCUCCUUUGGAGGUCUAGAAGAAUUUUUAUAUGAGUCCAUCAGGCCUGGGCUUUUUUUUUUUUAUGUUUGUCACUGUUUCUAUCUCCUUAUUGAAUGAUAAUGAGGUCAUGACUGCUCCUAGGUAUAGUUAAGGGGAAGGGUUUCAUUGUAGAUGUAAAGGAAGAGUACAGCUAGGGGUGUCUGGGAAAGUCCAGAUUGAACUGGGCCAUGAUAGGAGGUGUGUGUGGGUGUGUGUGUGUGUG